rnacentral:rRNA from 1 species
UACAGAGGGUGCGAGCGUUGUUCGGAAUUAUUGAGCGCAAAGGGCGCGUAGGCGGUGCGGUAAGUCACCUGUGAAAUCUCCUGGCUCAACUGGGAGCUUGCAGGCGAAACUGCCGUGCUGGAGUGUGGGAGAGGUGCGUGGAAUUCCUGGUGUAGCGGUGAAAUGCGUAGAUAUCAGGAGGAACACCUGUGGCGAAAGCGGCGCACUGGACCACAACUGACGCUGAGGCGCGAAAGCGUGGGGAGCAAACAGG